UGAAUAUAUAUCUAUAACCUGCAUAUUUUCAGGCCACAGAGGAACCUCCGUUCUAGCAGCAGACUGAAGGUUCCCUCCAGAUUGGUCCUCAAUCUGUUACUCUGCAGUCUGUGGAGUGCAGUCUGGAAGAGACUGCUGGUGGGGGACCAUCAAUCUGUUCCUCUGCAGUCUGUGGAGUGCAGUCUGGAAGAGACUGCUGGUGGGGGACCAUCAAUCUGUUACUCUGCAGUCUGUGGAGUGCAGUCUGGAAGAGACUGCUGGUGGGGGACCAUCAAUCUGUUACUCUGCAGUCUGUGGAGUGCAUUCUGGAAGAGACUGCUGGUGGGGGACCAUCAAUCUGUUCCUCUGCAGUCUGUGGAGUGCAGUCUGGAAGAGACUGCUGGUGGGGGACCAUCAAUCUGUUCCUCUGCAGUCUGUGGAGUGCAGUCUGGAAGAGACUGCUGGUGGGGGACCAUCAAUCUGUUACUCUGCAGUCUGUGGAGUGCAGUCUGGAAGAGACUGCUGGUGGGGGACCAUCAAUCUGUUCCUCUGCAGUCUGUGGAGUGCAGUCUGGAAGAGACUGCUGGUGGGGGACCAUCAAUCUGUUACUCUGCAGUCUGUGGAGUGCAGUCUGGAAGAGACUGCUGGUGGGGGACCAUCAAUCUGUUCCUCUGCAGUCUGUGGAGUGCAGUCUGGAAGAGACUGCUGGUGGGGGACCAUCAAACUGUUCCUCUGCAGUCUGUGGAGUGCAGUCUGGAAGAGACUGCUGGUGGGGGACCAUCAAUCUGUUCCUCUGCAGUCUGUGGAGUGCAGUCUGGAAGAGACUGCUGGUGGGGGACCAUCAAUCUGUUACUCUGCAGUCUGUGGAGUGCAGUCUGGGAGAGACUGCUGGUGGGGGACCAUCAAUCUGUUCCUCUGCAGUCUGUGGAGUGCAGUCUGGAAGAGACUGCUGGUGGGGGACCAUCAAUCUGUUCCUCUGCAGUCUGUGGAGUGCAGUCUGGAAGAGACUGCUGGUGGGGGACCAUCAAUCUGUUCCUCUGCAGUCUGUGGAGUGCAGUCUGGAAGAGACUGCUGGUGGGGGACCAUCAAUCUGUUACUCUGCAGUCUGUGGAGUGCAGUCUGGAAGAGACUGCUGGUGGGGGACCAUCAAUCUGUUACUCUGCAGUCUGUGGAGUGCAGUCUGGAAGAGACUGCUGGUGGGGGACCAUCAAUCUGUUCCUCUGCAGUCUGUGGAGUGCAGUCUGGAAGAGACUGCUGGUGGGGGACCAUCAAUCUGUUCCUCUGCAGUCUGUGGAGUGCAGUCUGGAAGAGGCUGCUGGUGGGGGACCAUCAAUCUGUUACUCUGCAGUCUGGAAGAGACUGCUGGUGGGGGACCAUCAAUCUGUUCCUCUGCAGUCUGUGGAGUGCAGUCUGGAAGAGACUGCUGGUGGGGGACCAUCAAUCUGUUCCUCUGCAGUCUGUGGAGUGCAGUCUGGAAGAGACUGCUGGUGGGGGACCAUCAAUCUGUUCCUCUGCAGUCUGGAAGAGACUGCUGGUGGAGGACCAUCAAUCUGUUACUCUGCAGUCUGUGGAGUGCAGUCUGGAAGAGACUGCUGGUGGGGGACCAUCGAUCUGUUCCUCUGCAGUCUGUGGAGUGCAGUCUGGAAGAGACUGCUGGUGGGGGACCAUCAAUCUGUUACUCUGCAGUCUGUGGAGUGCAGUCUGGAAGAGACUGCUGGUGGGGGACCAUCAAUCUGUUACUCUGCAGUCUGUGGAGUGCAUUCUGGAAGAGACUGCUGGUGGGGGACCAUCAAUCUGUUCCUCUGCAGUCUGUGGAGUGCAGUCUGGAAGAGACUGCUGGUGGGGGACCAUCAAUCUGUUCCUCUGCAGUCUGUGGAGUGCAGUCUGGAAGAGACUGCUGGUGGGGGACCAUCAAUCUGUUACUCUGCAGUCUGUGGAGUGCAGUCUGGAAGAGACUGCUGGUGGGGGACCAUCAAUCUGUUCCUCUGCAGUCUGUGGAGUGCAGUCUGGAAGAGACUGCUGGUGGGGGACCAUCAAUCUGUUACUCUGCAGUCUGUGGAGUGCAGUCUGGAAGAGACUGCUGGUGGGGGACCAUCAAUCUGUUCCUCUGCAGUCUGUGGAGUGCAGUCUGGAAGAGACUGCUGGUGGGGGACCAUCAAACUGUUCCUCUGCAGUCUGUGGAGUGCAGUCUGGAAGAGACUGCUGGUGGGGGACCAUCAAUCUGUUCCUCUGCAGUCUGUGGAGUGCAGUCUGGAAGAGACUGCUGGUGGGGGACCAUCAAUCUGUUACUCUGCAGUCUGUGGAGUGCAGUCUGGGAGAGACUGCUGGUGGGGGACCAUCAAUCUGUUCCUCUGCAGUCUGUGGAGUGCAGUCUGGAAGAGACUGCUGGUGGGGGACCAUCAAUCUGUUCCUCUGCAGUCUGUGGAGUGCAGUCUGGAAGAGACUGCUGGUGGGGGACCAUCAAUCUGUUCCUCUGCAGUCUGUGGAGUGCAGUCUGGAAGAGACUGCUGGUGGGGGACCAUCAAUCUGUUACUCUGCAGUCUGUGGAGUGCAGUCUGGAAGAGACUGCUGGUGGGGGACCAUCAAUCUGUUACUCUGCAGUCUGUGGAGUGCAGUCUGGAAGAGACUGCUGGUGGGGGACCAUCAAUCUGUUCCUCUGCAGUCUGUGGAGUGCAGUCUGGAAGAGACUGCUGGUGGGGGACCAUCAAUCUGUUCCUCUGCAGUCUGUGGAGUGCAGUCUGGAAGAGGCUGCUGGUGGGGGACCAUCAAUCUGUUACUCUGCAGUCUGGAAGAGACUGCUGGUGGGGGACCAUCAAUCUGUUCCUCUGCAGUCUGUGGAGUGCAGUCUGGAAGAGACUGCUGGUGGGGGACCAUCAAUCUGUUCCUCUGCAGUCUGUGGAGUGCAGUCUGGAAGAGACUGCUGGUGGGGGACCAUCAAUCUGUUCCUCUGCAGUCUGGAAGAGACUGCUGGUGGAGGAAAAUCAAUCUGUUACUCUGCAGUCUGUGGAGUGCAGUCUGGAAGAGACUGCUGGUGGGGGACCAUCGAUCUGUUCCUCUGCAGUCUGUGGAGUGCAGUCUGGAAGAGACUGCUGGUGGGGGACCAUCAAUCUGUUCCUCUGCAGUCUGUGGAGUGCAGUCUGGAAGAGACUGCUGGUGGGGGACCAUCAAUCUGUUCCUCUGCAGUCUGUGGAGUGCAGUCUGGAAGAGACUGCUGGUGGGGGACCAUCAAUCUGUUCCUCUGCAGUCUGUGGAGUGCAGUCUGGAAGAGACUGCUGGUGGGGGACCAUCAAUCUGUUCCUCUGCAGUCUGUGGAGUGCAGUCUGGAAGAGACUGCUGGUGGGGGACCAUCAAUCUGUUACUCUGCAGUCUGUGGAGUGCAGUCUGGAAGAGACUGCUGGUGGGGGACCAUCAAUCUGUUCCUCUGCAGUCUGUGGAGUGCAGUCUGGAAGAGACUGCUGGUGGGGGACCAUCAAUCUGUUCCUCUGCAGUCUGUGGAGUGCAGUCUGGAAGAGACUGCUGGUGGGGGACCAUCAAUCUGUUCCUCUGCAGUCUGUGGAAUGCAGUCUGGGAGAGACUGCUGGUGGGGGACCAUCAAUCUGUUCCUCUGCAGUCUGUGGAGUGCAGUCUGGAAGAGACUGCUGGUGGGGGACCAUCAAUCUGUUCCUCUGCAGUCUGUGGAGUGCAGUCUGGAAGAGACUGCUGGUGGGGGACCAUCAAUCUGUUACUCUGCAGUCUGUGGAGUGCAGUCUGGGAGAGACUGCUGGUGGGGGACCAUCAAUCUGUUCCUCUGCAGUCUGUGGAAUGCAGUCUGGGAGAGACUGCUGGUGGGGGACCAUCAAUCUGUUCCUCUGCAGUCUGUGGAGUGCAGUCUGGAAGAGACUGCUGGUGGGAGACCAUCAAUAUGUUCCUCUGCAGUCUGUGGAGUGCAGUCUGGAAGAGACUGCUGGUGGGGGACCAUCAAUCUGUUCCUCUGCAGUCUGUGGAGUGCAGUCUGGAAGAGACUGCUGGUGGGGGACCAUCAAUCUGUUACUCUGCAGUCUGUGGAGUGCAGUCUGGAAGAGACUGCUGGUGGGGGACCAUCAAUCUGUUCCUCUGCAGUCUGUAAGAGACUGCUGGUGGGGGACCAUCAAUCUGUUCCUCUGCAGUCUGUGGAGUGCAGUCUGGAAGAGACUGCUGGUGGGGGACCAUCAAUCUGUUACUCUGCAGUCUGGAAGAGACUGCUGGUGGGGUACCAUCAAUCUGUUCCUCUGCAGUCUGUGGAGUGCAGUCUGGAAGAGACUGCUGGUGGGGGACCAUCAAUCUGUUCCUCUGCAGUCUGUAAGAGACUGCUGGUGGGGGACCAUCAAUCUGUUCCUCUGCAGUCUGUGGAGUGCAGUCUGGAAGAGACUGCUGGUGGGGGACCAUCAAUCUGUUACUCUGCAGUCUGGAAGAGACUGCUGGUGGGGGACCAUCAAUCUGUUACUCUGCAGUCUGUGGAGUGCAGUCUGGAAGAGACUGCUGUUGGGGGACCAUCAAUCUGUUACUCUGUAGUCUGUGGAGUGCAGUCUGUAAGAGACUGCUGGUGGGGGACCAUCAAUCUGUUACUCUGCAGUCUGUGGAGUGCAGUCUGGAAGAGACUGCUGGUGGGGGACCAUCAAUCUGUUCCUCUGCAGUCUGUGGAGUGCAGUCUGGAAGAGACUGCUGGUGGGGGACCAUCAAUCUGUUCCUCUGCAGUCUGUGGAGUGCAGUCUGGAAGAGACUGCUGGUGGGGGACCAUCAAUCUGUUCCUCUGCAGUCUGUGGAGUGCAGUCUGGGAGAGACUGCUGGUGGGGGACCAUCAUUCUGUUCCUCUGCAGUCUGUGGAGUGCAGUCUGGAAGAGACUGCUGGUGGGGGACCAUCAAUCUGUUCCUCUGCAGUCUGUGGAGUGCAGUCUGGAAGAGACUGCUGGUGGGGGACCAUCAAUCUGUUACUCUGCAGUCUGUGGAGUGCAGUCUGGAAGAGACCGCUGGUGGGGGACCAUCAAUCUGUUACUCUGCAGUCUGUGGAGUGCAGUCUGGAAGAGACUGCUGGUGGGGGACCAUCAAUCUGUUCCUCUGCAGUCUGUGGAGUGCAGUCUGGAAGAGACUGCUGGUGGGGGACCAUCAAUCUGUUCCUCUGCAGUCUGUGGAGUGCAGUCUGGAAGAGACUGCUGGUGGGGGACCAUCAAUGGAGGAGGCUGUUCUUCCUCUCCAUCGUCUUCAGUUUUCUGUCAUC
rnacentral:lncRNA from 1 species